AUGCACGCUGGCGGCGUGCCUAAUCCCUGCAAGUCGAGCGAACAGACGAGGAGCUUGCUCCUCUGACGUUAGCGGCGGACGGGUGAGUAACACGUGGAUAACCUACCUAUAAGACUGGGAUAACUUCGGGAAACCGGAGCUAAUACCGGAUAAUAUAUUGAACCGCAUGGUUCAAUAGUGAAAGACGGUUUUGCUGUCACUUAUAGAUGGAUCCGCGCCGCAUUAGCUAGUUGGUAAGGUAACGGCUUACCAAGGCAACGAUGCGUAGCCGACCUGAGAGGGUGAUCGGCCACACUGGAACUGAGACACGGUCCAGACUCCUACGGGAGGCAGCAGGAGGGAAUCUUCCGCAAUGGGCGAAAGCCUGACGGAGCAACGCCGCGUGAGUGAUGAAGGUCUUCGGAUCGUAAAACGCUGUUAUUAGGGAAGAACAAAUGUGUAAGUAACUAUGCACGUCUUGACGGUACCUAAGCAGAAAGCCACGGCUAACUACGU
rnacentral:rRNA from 1 species